rnacentral:lncRNA from 1 species
GGAAGCACUGCGGUCAGCCAGAAGUUCCUGGACAGGCAGUGGGAGUGAAGUGCAUGAAAUCCAACACUCCAUGUCAGGAAUUUGCUACUAAUGGAGCCUAUCUGCAGCAUGGGAACCAGCAAGUGAGAGCUGAAAUCAAGGCUGUCAGACUCACUUCGCUUACUGGUUACGAAAUGGGACAAAUCAGCCCCAGAGUCACACGGAAACAUGAGCACGGUGGUGACACGGCCUUUCAUGCACAGCGUCAGCACUAAAAACAGCAUAUAGAUGGUUUGGGAAGUUAUAAACACCGACCUCAUGAUUCUAUUCUGAGCUGGUCCUAUGACAAAAAGGGGGGGAAAAAUAACCAAAUGAAAACAGCAACAACAAAAAUCCAACAGAAGAUAAGAGCCCAAAGCAAUGGGCAGCACUGCAUGGGGCCCACCGUGCUGGCUGUGGGAUGGGAGCUGGCAGCACUGACUGACACCGGCACAGCUGCAGCCCAAUGGCUCCAGCAGCAAAGUGCUUCAGAGCUUCCCUUCCUCUUCUUAAUUAUCAUGAUUUUUUUUAAGCUAAACAGCCUUUGUCAGGUUACUCGUGUCAUGUCCCUGUUUAGCCUCCCACAUCCAAAGUUCAGAUGGAUAUUCAGAAUGGCUCUUCCUAAUCUUCAGCAUGUCAGACUUCAUCGGUUGAUCUCAAGUUUCCAGCUGUCUCCCAGGGCCAUGCCACCAUCUGACCAAAACCUCACUGAACUCAAGACUCUGUGCUAUCUGCAGUCCUUCUGCAGCUGGGCUGGCUCUGCUCCAGUGCCUGGAAUGGGAUUCCAGAGCCAUCCCCACUCUUAUCACCCGUUGUGCCGAUAA